CCAAUCACAGCCUCGUGAAUGCAGAGUCUGUCUGCCGCAGAUAUGAGAGGCUCGUGUUAAGUUUGUUCUGUACGAGUGACUCUGUUUUCGGUGUAAAUAACUUGCUGAAGUCGACACAACACUGUUUCCCUGGAGGGGAAGAUGAGUGCGUUUGAAAGUAAAGCCGCGGGCCCGGUGUGGAGGAGUCGAGGCGGAGAAGACAGGCGCACAGUCCCUAAAUUAAGCCUGAUUCCCGCAAACAAGGAGGCAGUCACUGCACAUUACGGCGAGACCCGCUGAAAGUUUGCAUUUGCAGUGCGGAAAAACGAUGCCCUUCUAUCUGCCUGUACUAUGACGUAAGACCCACUAUGAGCCAGUAUGAAGGAGCUUCCAGUACAUCCAACCGGACCUUGCAUCAGCAUUGAGGAGUUCAGGAGUCAGCAGAGAAGAAAGAGGCUGAUUGAAGCGGGACAGAUGAAUUGGAUCCAUCCUUCCACAGCCAGGAGCUCACCGACCUUUGUGCCACACUUCAAAUAUGACUAGAAGCUACACACCACAGACGUCUACACACUGGGGCAGAUUCGGACAGAGUCCCACAAAGAACAUAUGACCCAGAGGCUGCAAAGAGACAUUUCAAGCUUCACCUGAUUAGUUUUUCACUCGCUAGGCCAGUUGUGUUUAUAGAAUAUUUGUGCUGAUUCUAAAUAAAGCUUUGACUCAACAUA